rnacentral:tRNA from 1 species
GGCGAUGUAGCUCAGUUGGUUAGAGCAUUCGGUUCAUAUCCGAAGUGUCCGGGGUUCAAGUCCCUGCAUCGCUACCA